GUUCUAUGGAUUGGUUGAAAAGCAAGUAAUCUCCUUUGAAAUCCUGGGCCCUCUGAGAUUUGGACUUCUCAAGUCUUCUUAAACUAAUCAGGUGCGGGUUUCUAUUGUGCUGAUGUGUCAUGAUGUCGUGGCAGCACGAGGGAACAGCAACGUGGAUCAAAGGCUAUCUUCCUUCUGAUCCACGUCUGUGAGAUCUCCAUCGGUUGGAGAGGGGAACGAACCAUUCUUUAUAAGGGUGUGGAAACCUCUAAAAACCGUGACGCUAACGGAGAUACGUAUCGGGUUUACAGCCUCUCUUGAACGAAAAAGAUAAGAUUGGAGGGACUGUGAGGAAGGAGCACGACAGUCAAAUCCACAAACGCCAUGUGGCAUCCAGGUUAGUCGAGUUAACGUAAUCGCUUCUCAUAUUCUAAAGCUGGAAAGUUUCAUGCUUUUCAUGUCUUACUAAUAGACCUUCCCAAAAGCACAAAAAUAAAGUAGGCAAAUUGGUUAGGCUUGGUUUCGUUUUCUUAACCCGAAACGCGAAACCGAACAAUUUAUUUGAUAAUUUCUUUUUAAAAAAUUUAAUAGUUAUAUUGUUUUGGAAUU